rnacentral:rRNA from 1 species
CCUUUAAAGAAAGCGUAAUAGCUCACUAGUCGAAUCGGCCUGCGCGGAAGAUAUAACGGGGCUCAAACAUACCACCGAAGCUACGGACGCAUGCUUGCAUGCGUGGUAGAGGAGCGUUCUGUAGGCCGUUGAAGGGAAAGCUGAGAGGCAUCCUGGAGGUAUCAGAAGUGCGAAUGCUGACAUGAGUAACGAUAAGGGGAGUGAAAAGCUCCCCCGCCGGAAGACCAAGGUUUCCUAUCCAAUGCUAAUCAGGGUAGGGUGAGUCGGCCCCUAAGGCGAGGCUGAAGAGCGUAGUCGAUGGGAAGCAGGUUAAUAUUCCUGCACCACUCAAUAUUGCGAAGGAGGGACGGAGAAGGCUAGUCCAGCACGGCGUUGGUUGUCCGUGUUUAAGCGUGUAGGCUGGGAGUUUAGGUAAAUCCGGACUCCCUUAAGGCUGAGGCGUGAUGACGAGGUCCAUUAGGACUGAAGUGGUUGAUGCCAUACUUCCAGGAAAAGCUUCUAAGCAUCAGGUAUUGAGUGACCGUACCCCAAACCGACACAGGUGGUCAGGUAGAGAAUACCAAGGCGCUUGAGAGAACUCGGGUGAAGGAACUAGGCAAAAUGGUACCGUAACUUCGGGAGAAGGUACGCCGCUGAUGGUGAUGGGACUUGCUCCCUAAGCUGUUGGCGGCCGAAGAUACCAGGUGGCUGCGACUGUUUAUUAAAAACACAGCACUGUGCAAACACGAAAGUGGACGUAUACGGUGUGACGCCUGCCCGGUGCCGGAAGGUUAAUUGAUGGGGUUAGCUUCGGCGAAGCUCUUGAUCGAAGCCCCGGUAAACGGCGGCCGUAACUAUAACGGUCCUAAGGUAGCGAAAUUCCUUGUCGGGUAAGUUCCGACCUGCACGAAUGGCGUAACGACGGCCACACUGUCUCCACCCGAGACUCAGUGAAAUUGAAAUCGCUGUUAAGAUGCAGUGUAUCCGCGGCUAGACGGAAAGACCCCGUGAACCUUUACUAUAGCUUCACAGUGAACUUUGAACCUAUUUGUGUAGGAUAGGUGGGAGGCUUUGAAACUGGGACGCAAGUCUUAGUGGAGCCAUCCUUGAAAUACCACCCUGGUAUGUUUGAGGUUCUAACUCAGGUCCGUAAUCCGGAUCGAGGACACUGUGUGGUGGGUAGUUUGACUGGGGCGGUCUCCUCCCAAAGAGUAACGGAGGAGCACGAAGGUAUGCUAAUCAUGGUCGGAAAUCAUGAGGUUAGUGCAAUGGCAUAAGCAUGCUUAACUGCGAGACAGACACGUCGAGCAGAUACGAAAGUAGGUCAUAGUGAUCCGGUGGUUCUGAAUGGAAGGGCCAUCGCUCAACGGAUAAAAGGUACUCCGGGGAUAACAGGCUGAUACCGCCCAAGAGUUCACAUCGACGGCGGUGUUUGGCACCUCGAUGUCGGCUCAUCACAUCCUGGGGCUGAAGCCGGUCCCAAGGGUAUGGCUGUUCGCCAUUUAAAGUGGUACGCGAGCUGGGUUUAGAACGUCGUGAGACAGUUCGGUCCCUAUCUGCCGUGGACGUUUGAGAUUUGAGAAGAGUUGCUCCUAGUACGAGAGGACCGGAGUGAACGAACCUCUGGUGUUCCGGUUGUCACGCCAGUGGCAUUGCCGGGUAGCUACGUUCGGACAGGAUAACCGCUGAAAGCAUCUAAGCGGGAAGCCCCCUUCAAGAUGAGAUCUCACAGGACUUUAAGUCCCUAAAGAGCCGUUCAAGACUAGGACGUUGAUAGGUUGGGUGUGUAAGCACGGUAACGUGUUGAGCUAACCAAUACUAAUUGCUCGUGAGGCUUGACCAU